GGUAGAAUGGCUGAAAGCCCAAGCGGCGGAUUGUAGCUCCGAGGAUAGAGGUUUAAUUCCUCUUUCUAUCA
rnacentral:tRNA from 1 species